GGGCGCUUAGCUCAGCUGGGAGAGCAUCUGCCUUACAAGCAGAGGGUCAGAGGUUCGAUCCCUCUAGCGCCCA
rnacentral:tRNA from 1 species